GACAGAGGUGCCAAGCGUUAGGCGGAAUCACUGGGCUUAAAGCGUGUGUAGGCGGGGCGUUAAGUAACUUGUGAAAUCCCCCGGCUCAAACGGGGAACGGCUGGGUAUACUGGCGAUCUUGAGCCACCUAGGGGCAGUCGGAACAAGUGGUGGAGCGGUGAAAUGCGUAGAUAUCACUUGGAACGCCAAUGGUGAAAACAGACUGCUGGGGGUGUGCUGACGCUGAGACACGAAAGCCAGGGGAGCAAACGGG
rnacentral:rRNA from 1 species